CGGGCUGGGGGACUUGGCGUCCGUCCAGUUACUUGGGGCUCCCGCGGGGUGGUCCCCUGUGGGUCCCUCGUGCCUGCGGUACCAAGGGCAACGCCAACAAAACGCCUGGCCGCAUGCGCCUGUAGCCAGCUAUUUUUCUUUGGCCUUAUUUUGACCGAUUUACAGCUGCUGGAAUCCUGAUGUGGAACCUCCGACUUCCCAACGGAAGAGGAAAGGCCCAGUACCUAAAACUGAUUUAUGGACAGAAACUCCCGAAGCAUGAGAAGCGUGUGGCCUCUCCGCCCUCUCCUUGCAGGGCGGGCAGCGCUGGCAUCCAGGUCGUGCGCUGCCUUCAUUUCAGCCACUUCACAUUCUCAGCCUUUCAAACACCACCCGUCUCCCUCCUUUCCAAAAUAAAACUGAAAUUAGAUUUUAUUAAUUAGGAAAUGACGUCCCAAUUAAACCACCUUGUGUUUCACAUAACACAUUUCUAAACAACUUUUAAAAUAUUUGGUGUUUAAACAAAGGAAAAACAUCUAAGGUGACACAGCGAUGAAGGGAGAACCUCCGCUUGGAGGCUGCUACAUGUUACAGCCGCAAGACAUCCGACCCGCACUGUGGAAUCUUUCUCUGUCUUACUUAAACAGGAGUUGGGACUAAGGAAAGUGUUAUUCCUCAAGUGUGUGGCUGCAGACUCCAGUCUUUUAGACAUUUGAAUGGCAGGAGGCAGACCGAGCAGUUACCCAGUGAAACCCGACCUUCAAGCCGAAGACAGUUUAAAGCCGACCUACAAGUCCCAGUGUAUCAUCAUUCUUCUUGGACGUGGGACAAGAGCUCAGGAUGCACCAAAUGUGAAUACAGAGAAGGCUGUAACUCCAUAACCCUUUGCCCUUCACCAGCAGAGGGCAGCCACCCCAUGUGACAGAAGCAGCAGUGGGACUGAGCCAGCCCUGGAGCCAUGGGCUGAUGCGGGGCAAGCGGCUGACAGAGCUGUUGACGCACCACUGUCCAUCAGGAUGCAGACUAAAAGAGCUAAUUAGCAUGCUGUAACACCCCCUCUGGGGCUUCAGGAUCACAGCACCCCUACCUGGGCGCCACCGUGUUCCCCUUGUCUGGACGCCGGAGUCCACCAUGGGAGUGGCUUGCAACAUGCCUGGUCCAGCCACAAGCCCUGCAUGGAGCCUGCGUCUGUGCUGACACUUGGAACCGUUGGCUGGACCCCGCACUCACUCGCUCACACCCCCUCCCACUGGGGGCUGAGUGCACAGUCGGAACAGCCGCAAACGCUGGAGUGCGGGCCUGGCAUGACAUGAUGGGCCAAGUGAAUGGGCAUCUCCUGUGGCAAACCUGGGCCUGAGCAAGGGUGUCGCUGGCUGGGGGUCUCUGGCUGACAAGUGACCAAGAAAAGUCAUGCGCCGCCAUCGUGUCCUGAACUGAUUUUUCAGGUUUCUUUGAAACCCCCUUGGCUGAAGGUGGGGGUAGGGGGUUCCAUUCAGUCAGUUGGGGGAGCUUAGUAUCUUAUUUUUGGUUUAUAUAACUUGAAAUUGUCCAGCUGUCAGACUCUGCCACCAACUGGCUAUCCUACAAUCCAACCCCAUUCACACUCACUCGCAGAGUUAGCACAGACCCCACAGGCCAAGGGCUCCGUUCCACAAGGCUGUCCCCACUCCAGGUGACGGCUGCACAUGGGGUGCCCAGGCCACCCACAAGGCAGAUGACACAUUUGGGGCUCCCACAAACCCUUCCUCAGGUUCAAUAAUUUGCUAGAAUGACUCACAGAGCUCAGGAAACACUUAAUGCUUCCCAGCUUAUUAUGAAGGACACAGCUCAGGAAUAGCUAACGGGAGUGCAUCGGGCAUGGUGGGGCGAGGAGCUCCCAAGCCUUCUCUGCGCGGCAGCCGCUCAGCACUUCGGGGCAUCCACCAGCCAGGAGGCUCUCCUGAAUCUCAUUAUUCACACAUUUUCAUAUCUCAAUCCCCAGCCCCCCUCAUCCCCAGAGGUGGAGGUGGAGUGGGAGAGGGGCUGAGAAUUCCUGCCAACCAAUCUCCGGGUCUUUCUAGUGAUAUCUGGAGGCCCCACCCAGAGUCACUUCAUUAACAUAAACUCAGGUGUGGUGGGAAGGAGUUCCUUAUGAAGAAAGAAGACGCUCCCACACUCAGGAAAUCGCAAGGGUUUUAGACACUUGGUGACCGGAACCAGGGACCAAGACCAAAUAUACUUUUUGUCGUAGUAUAGCAUUCAACAGCUGCCAUGUUCUGCGUCUCUUGGUUCAAACUUCCAAAAUCUUAGGCUCCAAAGUCUUGCCCAGUGUGGGUUGGCUGUCCAUCUGGACUAAUCAGCUAUGCCAGGGAUGAGCUGUGGGGCACACGUGGUUCCCUUGUGUGGGUGGGCCAGGAGCACGCAGAGAAAAGCAGCCCAGAGACGGAUGGUGCUGGGUGCCUCCUGCAUGGCCGUGUGGGAGGACCUGACCUGUGGCUCAGGGACGCACUGUCAUAGCCAGCUCACAUCACAUGCUGCAGGGGGUCCACAUCCUGGGGCCCUUCUUAUCUCCACUGAUGGACGGACGUCAGGGCUCUGCUACUUAAAGGUAACCCCCUCAAGUUCGAGGGGGUGACUCUGCCCCAAGCUGCACGACACAGCCCUUCCUCUCACCCAGCCAGAUCCGUUUUCUGCGCUGGAGUUGCCCCUGUCGUUAUUUUGAUCCACACAUCUCUUAGGAGGUGGUUAACACCUGCUGAAAAACUUAAUUCUUGAAUGAAUGAAACAUGUACCUCACAUCAGGUAACAAGAUUUUACACA
rnacentral:lncRNA from 1 species